AGUGAACGCUGGCGGUAGGCCUAACACAUGCAAGUCGAACGGCAGCACAGUAAGAGCUUGCUCUUACGGGUGGCGAGUGGCGGACGGGUGAGGUAUACAUCGGAAUCUAUUUUUUCGUGGGGGAUAACGUAGGGAAACUUACGCUAAUACCGCAUACGACCUACGGGUGAAAGCAGGGGAUCUUCCGACCUUGCGCGAUUGAAUGAGCCGAUGUCGGAUUAGCUAGUUGGCGGGGUAAAGGCCCACCAAGGCGACGAUCCGUAGCUGGUCUGAGAGGAUGUUCAGCCAGACUGUAACGGAGACAGGGUCCAUACUCCUAAGGGAGGCAACAGUGGGGAAUAUGGGACAAUGGGGGCAAGCCUGAUCCAGCCAUGCCGCGUGGGUGAAGAAGGCCUUCUGGUUGUAAAGCCCUUUUUUUGGGAAAGAAAAGCAGCAGGUUAAUACCCCGCUGUUCUGACGGUACCCAAAGAAUAAGCACCGGCUAGCUUCGUG
rnacentral:rRNA from 1 species